rnacentral:ncRNA from 2 species
UCAAUCGGGCGGCUGUUGGGCGGCCCCCAGGCCUCAAUAGGGAAGCCGGUGCGAUUCCGGCGCGGACCCGCCGCUGUGACCGGGGACGAAACCCGCGAAAAGCCACUGCCCCACCGGGGUGGGAAGGCGCGGGGACUAGGACGAUCCGGAAGCCAGAAGACCUGCCCAACAACCGGCGACCGG